CUUAAGCCUUUUUCUUCUCUCCUCUGCUAAAGUUUUUGUCUCUGCUAAACUGAUAGAGAAAAUUAAUUGUAGGCAUUAGUCUGAAGAUUAGGAAGACAACUUCUGAUCCAAAUGACUGAUGCAUACGUUGGAAUAUGUGGGCAGGAAGGCAAAACAGUGAUGAAGUUGAGAGAUUACUACGAGAAUAUCAAUAGUACUUCAAAUUUAUUAACUACUUAAGAUGCUUUCCUUUUAGCUUUGUUCUCAAUAUUGAGUAUUUGAAUUAUGACAGCUGAAAUUUGGUUUACAAGGGAUAUGCUAAAACAUAUGCACACCUGUAGCUUUUCUAAAUCUUAAUCACUAUGAACAUGAAACCAUAUACUAAAGUGGGAAUCCAUGCUGU
rnacentral:lncRNA from 1 species